GCCGUUCUCAGUUCGGAUCGGAGUCUGCAACCCGACUCCGUGAAGCUGGAUUCGCUAGUAAUCGCGCAUCAGCCAUGGCGCGGUGAAUACGUUCCCGGGCCUUGUACACACCGCCCGUCAAGCCAUGGGAGCCGGGGGUGCUUGAAGUGCGUCGCCGCAAGGCGCGCCCUAGAGCAAAACCGGUGACUGGGGCUAAGUCGUAACAAGGUAUC
rnacentral:rRNA from 1 species